GUGCAGUGAUGACAGAUAAGGACUGUGAUCUGGUAUUUUCUGGGUUCUGCUCGGAAUCUGACCAGAAAAUGACCACCAAGAUUAAUCUUCUCUCUGAGCAC